rnacentral:misc_RNA from 1 species
UGUGUUUCUAUCUACCACCUUAGAA